UACGAAGGGGGCUAGCGUUGUUCGGAGUUACUGGGCGUAAAGGGCGCGUAGGCGGCGCACCAAGUCAGGCGUGAAAGCCCUGGGCUCAACCCGGGAAUUGCGCUUGAGACUGGUGUGCUUGAGUACGGGAGAGGAUAGUGGAAUUCCCAGUGUAGAGGUGAAAUUCGUAGAUUUUGGGAAGAACACCGGUGGCGAAGGCGGCUAUCUGGACCGUAACUGACGCUGAGGCGCGAAAGCGUGGGGAGCAAACAGG
rnacentral:rRNA from 1 species